AUUGAACGCUGGCGGCAUGCUUACACAUGCAAGUCGGACGAGUGGCGAACGGGUGAGUAAUACAUCGGAACAUGUCCAGUAGUGGGGGAUAGCCCGGCGAAAGCCGGUUAAUACCGCAUACUAUUGGGGUGGCCGAUGGCGGAUUAGCUAGGUGGGGGGGUAAAGGCCUACCAAGGCGACGAUCCGUAGCUGGUCUGAGAGGACGAACAGCCACACUGGGACGGAGACACGGCCCAGACUCCUACGGGAGGCAGCAGUGGGGAAUUUUGGACAAUGGGGGCAACCCUGAUCCAGCAAUGCCGCGUGUGUGAAGAAGGCUUCGGGUUGUAAAGCACUUUUGUCCGGGAAGCGGUACCGGAAGAAUAAGCACCGGCUAACUACGUGCCAGCAGCCGCGGUAAUUC
rnacentral:rRNA from 1 species